ACGGAGCAACGCCGCGUGAGUGAUGAAGGCUUUCGGGUCGUAAAACUCUGUUGUUAGGGAAGAACAAGUGCUAGUUGAAUAAGCUGGCACCUUGACGGUACCUAACCAGAAAGCCACGGCUAACUACGUGCCAGCAGCCGCGGUAAUACGUAGGUGGCAAGCGUUAUCCGGAAUUAUUGGGCGUAAAGCGCGCGCAGGUGGUUUCUUAAGUCUGAUGUGAAAGCCCACGGCUCAACCGUGGAGGGUCAUUGGAAACUGGGAGACUUGAGUGCAGAAGAGGAAAGUGGAAUUCCAUGUGUAGCGGUGAAAUGCGUAGAGAUAUGGAGGAACACCAGUGGCGAAGGCGACUUUCUGGUCUGUAACUGACACUGAGGCGCGAAAGCGUGGGGAGCAAACAGGAUUAGAUACCCUGG
rnacentral:rRNA from 2 species